AGAUUCACAGUCGCUGAAUAAGUAACGUCUUAAGUGGUCUUAAGCAUCAGCUUAAGCAUUUGCUUAGAAAAGUAAAUGCUUAUCGGUGUAGAUUCACAGUCGAUGCUUAAGAAAGUCUUAAGCUCUUAUGAAUUCGUAAUCGAAUAAGUCCGCCUUAUUUGUAGAAAACGAGUUCUUAUUUGGCUUCAUUGAGGUUAUGUUUUUAAGUCAACGAUAUUGAGGACUUAAGCACGCGUUUGACGGGGUUAUUGUGUAGUGAUGGGACGGGAGAGAGUAGGUUAGGGUACACGAAUACGGUAAAAGAGAUUAAAAUUACCGAUCCCUCCUGCGAUGCAGCUGUUAAUUUGUUUGCGGUAUUAUGCUACUGCAAGUUUUCAACUUAUUCUGGGAGACACGAUGAAUGUUUCUCAGCCCACAGUCUCCCGUAUAGUAUUUAGGGUGAGUUCACUAAUAGGCAGUCUGAUGAUAGACUAUAUCAAGUUUCCCAGGGAUCCGGACAAUUCCACUGCAGAUUAAUUCAAUAAUUAAAAUUGCAGAUUAUUCAAUAAUCUGGGAUAGGGAAACGGAGCUAUUGGUUUACCAGGUGUGGAUGGCGCUAUUGAUUGCACCCACAUUAGAUUAACAGCAUCCAGGUUCAACAACAUGGAAGAAAUGUACAGAAAUAGAAAAGGAUAUUUUUCAUUGAAUGUUCAGGUACAAUGAAAUCCAAAUCAGAACCCGACAGAUAGCAGAAAGAACGUUCGAUGUUUGGAAGCGCCGUUUUCCAUGUCUUACAAGGGGUUUAACAACGAAGUUCUUAUGUUCCACAACAACGGUAGUUGCAUGUGCUGUGUCCUAAUUUUCAAUGACAUUCUUGUAGAAGAAGAUGAAAUUGAAAACCAAAAUGAAGAUGGAGAAGAAUUAUUAGGAAACGUGGAAAAUGUUAAUGGCAUUGAUGGAUUUGCUACACGUGAAGCACUCAUUGCUUGUACGUUUCAUUGCGUAAUUGUGUCAAAUGAAAUGUAAUAAGGGGUUUUUUAUGCCUAUCGAGCCAAUAAAUAAUCAUUAUUCUUUCGGCUCAAA